AACGAACGCUGGCGGCGUGGAUAAGACAUGCAAGUCGAACGCGAUUUUCUCGGUUAGCAAUAACUGAGGAGAUUGAGUGGCGAAUGGGUGCGUAACACGUGGGAAUUUAUCCGGAAGUGGGGGAUAGCUCGUCGAAAGGCGAAUUAAUACCGCAUAUGCCUGUAAGGGCAAAGUGGGGGACCGUAAGGCCUCACGCUAUCGGAGGAGCCCGCGCCCUAUCAGCUAGUUGGUGAGGUAAUGGCUCACCAAGGCUUAGACGGGUAGCUGGUCUGAGAGGACGACCAGCCACACUGGAACUGAGACACGGUCCAGACACCUACGGGUGGCAGCAGUCGAGGAUUUUUCUCAAUGGGGGCAACCCUGAAGGAGCGACGCCGCGUGGAGGAUGAAGGGCUUCGGCUCGUAAACUCCUGUCACCGACGAACAAGACAUCCGGAUUAAUAACUCGGAUGUUUGAUGGUAGUCGGAGAGGAAGGGGCGGCUAACUCUGUGCCAGCAGCCGCGGUGAUACAGAGGCCCCAAGCGUUGUUCGGAUUUACUGGGCGUAAAGGGUGUGUAGGGGGUUAGGUUAGUCUGACGUGAAAUACCGUUGCUCAACAACGGAGCUGCGUCGGAUACUGCCUAGCUAGAGGUUCGGAGAUGAGGGCGGAAUUCUCGGUGUAGCGGUGAAAUGCGUAGAUAUCGAGAGGAACGCCGAUGGCGAAAGCAGCCCUCAAGACGAAAUCUGACCCUGAAACACGAAGGCCAGGGGAGCAAACGGGAUUAGAUACCCCGGUAGUCCUGGCAGUAAACGGUGCUCAUUAGAUGUAGGCGGAUUCGACCCCGCCUGUGUCGAACCUAACGGAUUAAAUGAGCCGCCUGGGAAGUACGGUCGCAAGAUUAAAACUCAAAGAAAUUGACGGGGGCUCACACAAGCGGUGGAGCAUGUGGCUUAAUUCGAAGCAACGCGAAGAACCUUAUCCUAGGCUUGACAUGUACGUAUUAACUCCCCGAAAAGGGAGCCACUCCCGCAAGGGCGGAACGUACACAGGUGCUGCAUGGCUGUCGUCAGCUCGUGCUGUGAAGUGUCGGGUUAAGUCCCGCAACGAGCGCAACCCUCAUCUUCAGUUGCCAUCAUUUAGUUGGGCACUCUGGAGAAACCGCCGGUGACAAGCCGGAGGAAGGCGGGGAUGACGUCAAGUCCUCAUGGCCCUUAUGGGCUGGGCUACACACGUGCUACAAUGGUGGUGACAAUGGGCAGCUAAGGCGCGAGCCGGCGCUAAUCCAUAAAAGCCAUCUCAGUUCAGAUUGCACUCUGCAACUCGAGUGCAUGAAGGUGGAAUCGCUAGUAAUCGCAGAUCAGCAUGCUGCGGUGAAUACGUUCCCGGGCCUUGUACACACCGCCCGUCAAACCAUGGGAGUUGGUUUUACCCGAAGCCGGUGCGCUAACCGCAAGGAAGCAGCCGACCACGGUAGGGUCAGCGACUGGGGUUAAGUCGUAACAAGGUAGCCGUAGGGGAACCUGC
rnacentral:rRNA from 1 species